rnacentral:rRNA from 1 species
GAUGAACGCUGGCGGCGUGCCUAAUACAUGCAAGUCGAGCGAACGGACGAGAAGCUUGCUUCUCUGAUGUUAGCGGCGGACGGGUGAGUAACACGUGGAUAACCUACCUAUAAAACUGGGAUAACUUCGGGAAACCGGAGCUAAUACCGGAUAAUAUUUUGAACCGCAUGGUUCAAAAGUGAAAGACGGUCUUGCUGUCACUGAUAGAUGGAUCCGCGCUGCAUUAGCGAGUUGGUAAGUUAAAGGCUUACCAAGGCAACGAUGCAUAGCCGACCGGAGGGGGUGAUCGGCCACACGGGAACUGAGACACGGUCCAGACUACUAAGGGAGGCAGCAGUAGGGAAUCUUCCGCAAUGGGCGAAAGCCUGACGGAGCAACGCCGCGUGAGUGAUGAAGGUCUUCGGAUCGUAAAACUCUGUUAUUAGGGAAGAACAUAUGUGUAAGUAACUGUGCACAUCUUGACGGUACCUAAUAAGAAAGCAACGGCUAACUACGUG